GAGGGUGUAGCUCAGUAGUAGAGUUUGGGCUUGGGAUGUGCAAGGUCCUGGGUUCAAUCCCCAGUACCUCCA
rnacentral:tRNA from 1 species